rnacentral:snRNA from 1 species
GUUACUAAAGCUUCGGCAAUACAUAUACUAAAAUUGGAACAAUACCAGAGCAGACUAGCAUGGCCCCUUUGCAAGAAUAAUGGUGCAAGUAUAGUUGAUCACCCAUCAUCA